rnacentral:lncRNA from 1 species
AGGUCAAUUUGAAGAUUGACAUCUUCAUCAUAUUGAUCUUCUGGUCCAUGAAGACUGGCCUAUGUGUGACUUUGCCUACGGUUUCUUGACUCUGGCUGGCUGGCAUUUUAUACUCUCCAGUCUGUAGCUGCUGAAGUACCUGUAUUAAAUGUAAUCUUAGGUGUUGGCUUGAGACUACGAUUAACCCAUUAUUUAUAAAAUAUGGAGAUCUCUUGGGUGUGUGCACCGAUCAUGCCCCCUAUAAAUACUGACUGCUCCAUUUCAUGCUUCUCAGUCCGUUCAGCCUUUAUUCCUGUUGAAUAGUUUGGUGCAUUGAUCCUAUCGGACGGCCAGUCCAUCUUUGGCUGCACAGGUAAGAGGAGCCUCAUUACCUUAUGUUAGAUUUCAAGAGCAUUGUGCUGCAGGGUUCCUGUCAGUACUCUACUAGACUAUGAACUUGUUCUCUUCCCAGGUCCCUAAGAGUUUUUACUGUAUGGAUGCUAAAUUUCCUGAAGUGCUUUUUUUCUGCCUCUGUUAAGAUUCUGUGAUUUUCCCCCCUUUGUUCUGUUAGCGUGCUAAAUCACAUCUAUUGAUUUUCAAAUGUUAAAUCAACUUUGAAUCUUGGGAAAAGCCCAGUUUGUGCCUGCUUGAUGCAUUCUCUUUCUUACAUUCAAUUUGCUAAUAUUCUUCUUUCAGGUGUUUGUAUGUUUGUCUGUGGGAGUGCGGUCUGCAUUGUAAUGUGUGUUCUAGAAUUUAGUUUCAUUUCUGUUGGUCAAACAAACCAAAAACAACAGUAUCAUAAAAC